ensembl:lncRNA
GGAAGAGAGGGUGUGCAAAAACAGGACAAGGAGAUGACUAGGAUCACCCAGUGAAAGCCAGAAUGUCCAUAGGUGGGCCUGUCUUGCAAAAGCUGAGGUCCUUGCAGAGCUAUUUCUGCCAUAGGAGGCCUUCAUUAUGCAAGGCAGAGAGACAGAGGCUGAAAUACUGUGGCCUCUCCCUUUCUCCCCAACCCCCAUCUUCAAAGGCUUCAAUCAUGGGAACCCCAGCCUAUGGGGAUCAGCACCUCAUUUCAGAGCAAAGAAGUGGGGACUGGAGGAAUAGAUCUGAAGGCAAAAAAGACUGACUGCUGGGCAGCCACUCUCAAAGAAAUCAGAGUUUGCAGCACCGGUCCUGUACCUGUGGCAGCAUCAGUAAACCUGAGUUGAGCAGCAGCUGUGUUCCUUAACCCAAGCACACACCCCUCAGUUUGUCUCCCUCAGCAUCUGCCCCUCUUCUCCCAUCACAUUACUCGCCUGAGCCACAUAGUCAUGAAUCACAGAGACUGAGCAUCACAGGAUGCUGGGGCUGGAGAAGACUGCAUAGACCAGCUGGUCCACCUUAGCACAUUAGAGAGAAAAGUGAAGCCUGAAGAGAGGCGGGCUUACUUAAUUUGCUCGGUAGCAGAGUCAAGCUGCCCACUCCAGUACUCCUGCCUGGAAAAUCCCAUGGAUGAAGGAGCCUGGUAGGCUGCAGUCCAUGGCGUCGCUAAGAGUCAGACACGACUGAGCAACUUCCCUUCACUUUCAUGCAUUGGAGAAGGAAAUGGCAACCCACUCCAGUGUUCUUGCCUGGAGAAUCCCAGGGACGGGGGACCCUGAUGGGCUGCCGUCUAUGGGGUCACACAGAGUCGAACACGACUGAAGCGACUUAGCAGCAGCAGCAGCAGCAGUCAAGCUGCCUUUUCAGAUUUUAGUUCCGGGCCAGAGAUCGAAUCCAUGCCCUUAGCAGAAGUGCGAAGUCAACCACUGGACCUCCAGGGAAGUUCCAGUAAGUUGAAUUUUACCAGCAAGCAUUCUGAAACUUCAGAUUUACCAAUGAGCCAGAACUAUUGCAGCCACCUUGCAACCAUGAGGCAACAAGCAGGAGAAUGAAAGCUAAUUUUCUGAGAAUAACAACACUGGAAGAUAGAAAUUCCUUCUAUCCUUGAUGGCAUGGUUCAGGGGCCCCAACCUCUACAAUCUAAUGCCUGAUGAUCUAAGGUGGAGCUGAUAUAAUAAUAAAGUGCACAAGAACUGUAAUGC